GCAAAAAAAGUUAACCAACCCCAAACUUUUUUGUUGUUAUUGAUUAGUUGAGGCUCUCAAGUUUCAUUUUCCAGUUGCACAUAUUCAAAACUUGUGGUUUCUAGACACUUUUGCCAUUCAAUGAUUUAUAAUUAAUAAUGACAUAAAUUUCCAUACGACUUCGGCUCACUUGGACAAGGGUGAAUUAGAUGACAUGAGGUUGAGUAAAUGAACUCAUCUUUAUUUUUGUGUGAUGUAUAUGUUGUUAAGCGCAGAGAUUAUGAUUCACUUAUUUAGCUGGAUAGAUCUUUCUUGAAAAUGACAAUAAUACUAAAGAUAAAAGUGUAACUUAAAAGCUUCAGCACAAAUAACAUAAAUCCUCAUGAAGCGUUGGUCUCCUGUCGGGUUAAAGGUCACGCGAGGUUCACGUUUCCUCCUGACUGACACUUAUUAAGCUAAAUAACAGCAGACGGGUUUUGAGGAAGAUGAUUUAUUAUCCUGAAAGCUAAUUUGUGAAGCCACACACUUGAUUUAAUCUACAGAAUCAUAUUUUAUUGCCUUGUGUGUCGUAUCGUAAUGAAACUGUAUUUUGCUGAACUCUAAAGUAUUUGUAUACUUUUUUUACUCAAAACGUGAAGCACAAUUUGUCCUGAAGCGUUUCGGUAAAAACUUAUUUUCUCUACUCACUAUCCAUGUCAUCCUAUAUUUUAUAACAUUUUGGUGCAACACGACAUUGUAUGUGAGUGGGAUGAAGUCAAGAGGGGUUUUACAAAGACUUUGAGAGGAAAGAUGAGGAGAGGGAGCUAUUGCUUCAAAGUUUUGAGGUUUGGGGCAAAACUCAAGGAGUUCUGUCACUUUUCCAAACAACCAGACUUGGGAAUUUUGCUAAAAAAAUGGGCAAAAAAAUCCCAUAGAUACCGAAGGAGGGACCUGAGCCACAUAGAGAGCAGAAUAUCAUAGAAAUGUGGGUUGUUUACUAAAGCAGUAAGAGACCAGAACACCUUAGACACCAACGCCCUGUCAAUCAUCCAUAACAGUUUAGCAGCAUGGCGGCAAGGUCGAGCACCGUUUGCAUUUGCUUCAGAAACUGAACAAAUGAUACUGUGGUGAUAAAAUAUAUGUGAUAACCCGAAACACAACACAGCACCCGAGCUCUUUCAGUCGAUGUCAAACCUUAAAUGCACUAUUCCUCGUAAAGUAGCUGUUUUUGUAACACUGUGGCACAAUCGAGUAUCAUUUCAUUCCAUUGGUUUUACUUCUGAAAUACUUGUGAUCUGGAGUUCCUCUUUAUUCAGUCAAAUCAAACCCUGUUGUUGACAUUACUCGGCUAAAAUCUGUUAUUUGUGCCUUUUCUGGAUUGGGUUUACUGACGUGAUGAGGAUCUUACAUGUACACUUUGUUCCUGGACCAUGAAUUGAGAUGUCUUUACAUGCUCUGAGCACUGGUCAUAUUCACUGGAACUGGAAGUGUAAGAGGUUUCAUUCAUUCGUUGUUUUACAGUUGUAUUUGAAAGUGCCAACAGACUUGAAUGUGUGAGCUGCGUUUGUCAACAUGAAUAAAGAGAACAUUAACUCUAUCUUA